UAGAAAUAAAUAAAAUUAAAUAGAAUCAUGAGUCAACAAUGAAAGCAGACUGGUAAACAUCAGCUUUAAUAGACAAAGAAAUCAGAAAGAAGACAUUUGAGAAGUUACAAUCACAGACCAAUGAGCAUGGCAGAUGAUAAUUAUGGAUCAUACAUGAGACAACGUGGUGAAAAUACAGUUAUCAGGUCGAUCUAGGUUGGAAAUAGACUUUGAAAUUGUAACAAGCUGCCUAAAUAACAGGAGCUACACCUGAUAUGAAUCCAGAGGCAUUCUGCUUCAGCCGCACAACCAGAGUGUACAAUUCCUCUGUAAUCUUGGAUCCGUGGCCCCACCCCACUGAUCACCUUACUGCAGCUAUCUCAAAGUGGACACCAUGUGCUUCAAGGCUAGCACCACACUGUCA